GAGCCCGGCUGGGCCAACGAAAACUGCUAAUUCUUCACCACUAUGGUUCAAUUCCGUAGCGAGCUCG
rnacentral:tRNA from 1 species